GAAUUCACUAGUGAUUCAGGCCUAACACAUGCAAGUCGAGCGGUAGAGAGAAGCUUGCUUCUCUUGAGAGCGGCGGACGGGUGAGUAAUGCCUAGGAAUCUGCCUGGUAGUGGGGGAUAACGUUCGGAAACGGACGCUAAUACCGCAUACGUCCUACGGGAGAAAGCAGGGGACCUUCGGGCCUUGCGCUAUCAGAUGAGCCUAGGUCGGAUUAGCUAGUUGGUGAGGUAAUGGCUCACCAAGGCUACGAUCCGUAACUGGUCUGAGAGGAUGAUCAGUCACACUGGAACGGAGACACGGUCCAGACUCCUACGGGAGGCAGCAGUGGGGAAUAUUGGACAAUGGGCGAAAGCCUGAUCC
rnacentral:rRNA from 1 species